CUUUUCCACAGCAUGUUUUUUUUUUAUCUUCUUUGCAUCACCCCCAGUCGCUCACAGCAAACGGGCCUGACCUGUGGGAGGUUUCUUUCUGUUAGAAGGGAGUUUUUCCUUCCUACUGUCACUAAGUACUUGAUAAUAGGGGUUUUAUGAUUGUUGGGGUUUUCUCUGUAUUAUUGUAGGGUCUUUACCAUGCAAUACAAAGCACCUUGAGGUGACUGUUGUUGUGCUAUAUAAAUAAAAUCAAAUUAAAAAAUAUGUCAGUGUUUCCGUUAGCAUAGCUUCCUUACUAAAGCAGGGGGAUACAGUAACAUGCAUGAAUCGGUUUCUAACCAACAAACCUUUACUGAUGUGAUUAUUGUGUGGUGCUACAAAGGAGUGUCUUCAUAAGUAAAUACAGCAACAAACAUCGCAAUCUUAGCAUAUGGACCUUAUACAGUGUUACGGCUGUGACCGUAAUUGUGUGUGGAUUUGAGUGUCUAGGUGCUCCUCCGGGAUUGACGAUUUGGCGUUGGUAAUGUGUUGUUUUUGCGUGACUGUUAUGUGUUUCCUACUUUACUUUGAAAGUCUGUGUCAUCUUAGUGUGUUCAGUUUACAUUUUCCCUGUCUCGUCAGUUCUGAUUUGCCCCAGCUGUGUUUCCCUCCUGUUGUCCAUUCCCUGAUUGUUCCCUCCAUGUAUUUAAGCCCUGUGUGUCAGUUGUCAUGGUCGCGAUCUUUUUCCCCCCCCGUUGUAAAUAGUUUGGCGCCUUGCGUUGUAAAUAAAUAUCAUUUUGCUUUAAAGAAAAUAGUGGUCGUUUUGGGAUGAUUUUUGUGGAAACCCGUAUUAGUUUUUUCUCGUGUGUUUUUUUUACCUUAUUUUUAUUUUCCUUAUUUUUAUUUUCCUUAUCUUUGUUUUUCUACGUUGCACCCCGGUUGCCUAGGCCGGGGUGUAACAUAUGGGGGCUCGUCCAAUCACUGUGGGGUCCGAGGACCGCUUCAGCCUCCGUCUGUCUUCGCUGGAGGGUCCGUGGGACCGCUCCAGCCUUCGUCCGCCUUCGCUGGAGGGUCCGUGGGACCACUCCAGCCUUCGUCGUCUGCUGGAGGGUCAGGGGGACCGCUCCAGCCUCCAUCAGUUUCAUCUGCCUCCGCUGGAGGGUCCGUGGGACCGCUUCAGUCUUCGUUUGCCUUCGCUGGGGGGUCCGAGGGACCGCCUCAGCCUUCGUCGUCUGCUGGAGGGUCCGUGGGACCGCUCCAGCCUUCAUCCACCUUCGCUGGAGGAUCCGAGGGACCGCUCCAGCCUUCAUCAGCUUCGUUUGUCUUCGCUGGAGGGUCCGAGGCACCGCUCCAGCCUUCGUCUGCCUUCGCUGGAGGGUCCGUGGGACCGCUCCAGACUUCAUCCGUCUUCGCUGGAGGGUCCGUGGGACCGCUCCAGCCUCCACCAGCCUUCAUCCGCCUUCGCUGGAGUGUCCAAGGGACCGCUCCAGCCUUCAUCAGCUUCGUUUGUCUUCGCUGGAGGAUCCGAGGGCCCGCUCCGGUUUUCCGUUUCCACUGGAGGACCCCAGGUGUCCGGUUGUCUUCAUUCUCCGCCAGCCUGGUUAAGUCAAUUCCUCCUUAACAUCUAAAAGAACCUAUUUAAUGAAGGAAGACGGGUUCACUUUGUGUUUAAUAUUAUUCUAUUGCUGUUGUUGUUUUUUUUAUAUCCUUCAAUUGGCGUCACGGAACAGGAUCCGCUCCAGGCCAAACUGGAACGGGUGGGAGGACAUCGGCCGUGGUCUGAGUGAACGGAGUUUGGACAAAAGCUGUGUGCACACAAAAACAAGGACAGCUGUUACUGCUUUCAUCGGGAACCGAGACUGCUUGCAGCCGACCCCUGGGCAGGGUGGUGCCUGGACUCUUUUCUCCUCAUCUGCAAUGACAGAUAAAGACAAAUGAUAAGACCCGAGGAGUUUUUCGAGCCAGGCUUCGACACGUCUCUGUGUUCCUUUGAAUGUUACUUAUGUUUGUGUGUUGACCCAUUUAAGAUGGGUCAAAAGGGGGAUUUGAAGAAAAUAUAAUCUGAUCAAACAUUAUUCAGCUUUAAAUAUUGUUCAGCUUUAAAGUUACUGUGCAACUGUGUAAUAAAAAUAUGCGCUCACGACUUUGGCCUUGAGAGCGAUAAGAAGCGAUCGCCUCAUUCUGCAGGUGCAAGAUAUCUGCAAGCGAAGAGACUAGAACACCCAAGGCCGCUUUCCUUUUAUGGAGUUGUUUUUCUGCUAAUGCAGCACUUUCAUCACAACCCCCUCCUGUAAGUUUUAGAGAAUAUAUACCCAUCCUC
ensembl:lncRNA